rnacentral:rRNA from 1 species
UGGGGAAUCUUCCGCAAUGGGCGCAAAGCCUGACGGAGUGACGCCGCGUGGGGGACGAAGGCCUUCGGGUCGUAAACCCCUGUCAGAGGGAAAGAAGGGUCAUGCGGUGAACAGCCGCGUGGCUUGACGGUACCUUCAGAGGAAGCCCCGGCCAACUCUGUGCCAGCAGCCGCGGCAAGACAGAGGGGGCAAGCGUUGCUCGGAAUCACUGGGCGUAAAGGGCGCGUAGGCGGGACGGCAAGUCGGUCGUGAAAGCCCUCGGCUCAACCGAGGAGAGUCGGCCGAGACUGUCGUUCUUGAGGGAUGCAGAGGAGACUGGAAUUCCCGGUGUGGCGGUGAAAUGUGUAGAGAUCGGGAGGAACACCGGUGGCGAAGGCGGGUCUCUGGGCAUCUCCUGACGCUGAGGCGCGAAAGCGUGGGGAGCGAACAGGAUUAGAUACCCUGGUAGUCCACGCCGUAAACGAUGAGUGCUAGGUGUUGGGGGCAGUAGCGUCCUCAGUCGG